rnacentral:rRNA from 1 species
UGGGGAAUAUUGCACAAUGGGCGCAAGCCUGAUGCAGCGACGCCGCGUGGGGGAUGACGGCCUUCGGGUUGUAAACUCCUUUCGCUAGGGACGAAGCUUUUUGUGACGGUACCUAGAUAAGAAGCACCGGCUAACUACGUGCCAGCAGCCGCGGUAAUACGUAGGGUGCGAGCGUUGUCCGGAAUUACUGGGCGUAAAGGGCUCGUAGGUGGUUUGUCGCGUCGUCUGUGAAAUUCCGGGGCUUAACUCCGGGCGUGCAGGCGAUACGGGCAUAACGUGAGUACUGUAGGGGAAACUGGAAUUCCGGGUGUAGCGGUGAAAUGCGCAGAUAUCAGGAGGAACACCGAUGGCGAAGGCAGGUUACUGGGCAGUUACUGACGCUGAGGAGCGAAAGAAUGGGUAGCGAACAGG